AAAACUCUGUUGUUGGAGAAGAACAGGUGAUAGAGUAACUGUUAUCAUCUGACGGUAUCCAACCAGAAAGCCACGGCUAACUACGUGCCAGCAGCCGCGGUAAUACGUAGGUGGCAAGCGUUGUCCGGAUUUAUUGGGCGUAAAGCGAGCGCAGGCGGUUUUUUAGGUCUGAUGUGAAAGCCUUCGGCUUAACCGGAGAAGGGCAUCGGAAACCGGGAGACUUGAGUGCAGAAGAGGACAGUGGAACUCCAUGUGUAGCGGUGAAAUGCGUAGAUAUAUGGAAGAACACCAGUGGCGAAGGCGGCUGUCUGGUCUGUAACUGACGCUGAGGCUCGAAAGCAUGGGUAGCGAACAGGAUUAGAUACCCUGGUAGUCCAUGCCGUAAACGAUGAGUGCUAAGUGUUGGAGGGUUUCCGCCCUUCAGUGCUGCAGCUAACGCAUUAAGCACUCCGCCUGGGGAGUACGACCGCAAGGUUGAAACUCAAAGGAAUUGACGGGGGCCCGCACAAGCGGUGGAGCAUGUGGUUUAAUUCGAUGCUACGCGAAGAACCUUACCAGGUCUUGACAUCUUCUGCUAACCUAAGAGAUUAGGCGUUCCCUUCGGGGACGGAAUGACAGGUGGUGCAUGGUUGUCGUCAGCUCGUGUCGUGAGAUGUUGGGUUAAGUCCCGCAACGAGCGCAACCCUUAUUGUCAGUUGCCAGCAUUUAGUUGGGCACUCUGGCGAGACUGCCGGUGACAAACCGGAGGAAGGUGGGGAUGACGUCAAAUCAUCAUGCCCCUUAUGACCUGGGCUACACACGUGCUACAAUGGACGGUACAACGAGUCGCGAAACCGCGAGGUCAAGCUAAUCUCUUAAAGCCGUUCUCAGUUCGGAUUGCAGGCUGCAACUCGCCUGCAUGAAGUUGGAAUCGCUAGUAAUCGUGGAUCAGCAUGCCACGGUGAAUACGUUCCCGGGCCUUGUACACACCGCCCGUCACACCAUGAGAGUUUGUAACACCCAAAGCCGGUGAGGUAACCUUCGGAACCAGCCGUCUAAGUGACAAGAGGG
rnacentral:rRNA from 2 species